AUUAGCUAGUUGGUAGGGUAAAGGCCUACCAAGGCGACGAUCUGUAGCGGGUCUGAGAGGAUGAUCCGCCACACUGGGACUGAGACACGGCCCAGACUCCUACGGGAGGCAGCAGUGGGGAAUAUUGGACAAUGGGGGGAACCCUGAUCCAGCCAUGCCGCGUGUGUGAAGAAGGCCUUUUGGUUGUAAAGCACUUUAAGCGAGGAGGAGGCUACCUAGAUUAAUACUUUAGGAUAGUGGACGUUACUCGCAGAAUAAGCACCGGCUAACUCUGUGCCAGCAGCCGCGGUAAUACAGAGGGUGCGAGCGUUAAUCGGAUUUACUGGGCGUAAAGCGUGCGUAGGCGGCCAAUUAAGUCAAAUGUGAAAUCCCCGAGCUUAACUUGGGAAUUGCAUUCGAUACUGGUUGGCUAGAGUAUGGGAGAGGAUGGUAGAAUUCCAGGUGUAGCGGUGAAAUGCGUAGAGAUCUGGAGGAAUACCGAUGGCGAAGGCAGCCAUCUGGCCUAAUACUGACGCUGAGGUACGAAAGCAUGGGGAGCAAACAGGAUUAG
rnacentral:rRNA from 1 species